rnacentral:rRNA from 1 species
CCUANGGGUGGCUGCAGUCGAGAAUCUUCGGCAAUGGGCGAAAGCCUGACCGAGCGACGCCGCGUGCGGGAUGAAGGCCUUCGGGUUGUAAACCGCUGUCGGAGGGGAUGAAAUGCUGGUGGGUUAUCCCAUCAGCUUGACUGAUCCUCGGAGGAAGGGUGGGCUAAGUUCGUGCCAGCAGCCGCGGUAAGACGUACCACCCAAACGUUAUUCGGAAUCACUGGGCUUAAAGAGUCCGUAGGCGGCUCGGAAAGUUGGAUGUGAAAUACCUCGGCUCAACCGAGGAACAGCAUUCAAAACUACCGGACUUGAGAGAGACAGAGGUAAGCGGAACUGAUGGUGGAGCGGUGAAAUGCGUUGAUAUCAUCAGGAACACCGGUGGCGAAAGCGGCUUACUGGGUCUUUUCUGACGCUGAGGGACGAAAGCUAGGGGAGCGAACGGGAUUAGAUACCCUUNUANUC